GGAGAGGUUCCCAAGCGGCCAAAGGGGGCGGGCUGUAAACCCGCUGGUUCUCGCCUUCGGAGGUUCGAAUCCUCCCCUCUCCA
rnacentral:tRNA from 1 species